CUUGAGAGCGGCGGACGAGGUGAGUAAUGCCUAGGAAUCUGCCUAGUGGUGGGGGAUAACGUUCGGAAACGGACGCUAAUACCGCAUACGUCCUACGGGAGAAAGCGGGGGACCUUCGGGCCUCGCGCCAUUAGAUGAGCCUAGGUCGGAUUAGCUAGUUGGUGAGGUAAAGGCUCACCAAGGCGACGAUCCGUAACUGGUCUGAGAGGAUGAUCAGUCACACUGGAACUGAGACACGGUCCAGACUCCUACGGGAGGCAGCAGUGGGGAAUAUUGGACAAUGGGCGAAAGCCUGAUCCAGCCAUGCCGCGUGUGUGAAGAAGGUCUUCGGAUUGUAAAGCACUUUAAGUUGGGAGGAAGGGUAGUAACUUAAUACGUUGCUACUUUGACGUUACCGACAGAAUAAGCACCGGCUAACUUCGUGCCAGCAGCCGCGGUAAUACGAAGGGUGCAAGCGUUAAUCGGAAUUACUGGGCGUAAAGCGCGCGUAGGUGGUUCAGUAAGUUGGAUGUGAAAUCCCCGGGCUCAACCUGGGAACUGCAUCCAAACUGCUGAGCUAGAGUACGGUAGAGGGUGGUGGAAUUUCCUGUGUAGCGGUGAAAUGCGUAGAUAUAGGRAGGGAACACCAGUGGCGAAGGCGACCACCUGGACUGAUACUGACACUGAGGUGC
rnacentral:rRNA from 1 species